rnacentral:rRNA from 1 species
AGCGAACGCUGGCGGCAGGCUUAACACAUGCAAGUCGAACGGGCACUUCGGUGCUAGUGGCAGACGGGUGAGUAACGCGUGGGAACGUACCUUUCGGUUCGGAAUAAUUCAGGGAAACUUGGACUAAUACCGGAUACGCCCUUCGGGGGAAAGAUUUAUCGCCGAUAGAUCGGCCCGCGUCUGAUUAGCUAGUUGGUGAGGUAAUGGCUCACCAAGGCGACGAUCAGUAGCUGGUCUGAGAGGAUGAUCAGCCACAUUGGGACUGAGACACGGACCAAACUCCUACGGGAGGAAGCAGUGGGGAAUAUUGGACAAUGGGCGCAAGCCUGAUCCAGCCAUGCCGCGUGAGUGAUGAAGGCCUUAGGGUUGUAAAGCUCUUUUGUCCGGGAAGAUAAUGACUGUACCGGAAGAAUAAGCCCCGGCUAACUUCGUGCCAGCCGCCGCCGUAAAAC